UGGGGAAUUUUAGACAAUGGGCGAAAGCCUGAUCCAGCAAUGCCGCGUGUGUGAAGAAGGCCUUCGGGUUGUAAAGCACUUUUGUCCGGAAAGAAAUCCUCUGGGUUAAUACCUCGGGGGGAUGACGGUACCGGAAGAAUAAGCACCGGCUAACUACGUGCCAGCAGCCGCGGUAAUACGUAGGGUGCAAGCGUUAAUCGGAAUUACUGGGCGUAAAGCGUGCGCAGGCGGUUUUGUAAGACGGAUGUGAAAUCCCCGGGCUUAACCUGGGAACUGCAUUCGUGACUGCAAGGCUAGAGUAUGGCAGAGGGGGGUAGAAUUCCACGUGUAGCAGUGAAAUGCGUAGAGAUGUGGAGGAAUACCGAUGGCGAAGGCAGCCCCCUGGGCCAAAUACUGACGCUCAUGCACGAAAGCGUGGGGAGCAAAACAGGAUUAGAUACCCUGGUAGUCCACGCCCUAAAACGAUGUCAACUAGUUGUUGGGGAUUCAUUUCCUUAGUAACGUAGCUAACGCGUGAAGUUGACCGCCUGGGGAGUACGGUCGCAAGAUUAAAAACUCAAAGGAAUUGACGGGGUCAUAGCUGUUUCC
rnacentral:rRNA from 1 species